UGGUUUACCAGGAUAUAAAAACCGCCUCGUGCUGCAGUGUCUUUCUCUUCUUCUCGGGAUAGCUGGUGUAGUGAUGCUUACAUUAGCUAAUAGUUGUAACUGUUUGUCCCGAUUCUCGGUUUGUUUCUUGUUCAAAUAUUCCGACUUAAAAUGGUAAUUUACGCAGUUAAGGGUUUUUACAGCAGUCAGAUAUAUUCAAAGACCGACGCAGUGGACGAGUCUAUUCUACACCGUGAAGCAAGACAAGUGUGUUGAAUGAGGAAUCUAUCUACACCAUGUUGAAGAGUGUGACUGUAAGGAAUCUAUCUACACCAUGAAGUAAGAGUGUGACUGAUGUAAGGAAUUGAUCUACACCAUGAAGUAAGAGUGUGACUGAUGUAAGAGUGUGACUGACGUAAGGUGUGUUUUAAAUCUCACGACUAGGACCAAUGCUUAAUACUGAAGUUGCCAUCAACACAUAUAUUUGUACUGGUUAAUAUGUACUCUUCUCUAACUGAGCAAAUGUCAUAAUGGUGAUCGACAUAUUUAAUGAAAAGUUAGCAAUGUUGUGAAUGGAAACUAGCAAGCUAGUGCUCAACUCAACCCAGAAAUGAUGAUUUUAGUCCGUGUUUCUUAAACUAAUGAUUACAACCGACUUCACUGAUCAGGUUGAGUUGCAGGGUGAAGCCAUGAGAUGCUGUAGAAUUACUCAGAUUUGUAUUAAUAUGUGGUACUUGUACGUUUUUUAGUUUGGGGCAACGUCAGCUGAAAUGAUUACCUGCAUGCUCAGAAAUUUGCCUUUAAAAGUAAUGUGAAAUUUGUGACAUUUGAAUCUUUUUCAACAGGAAUUGAUCUACACCAUGAUGUAAGAGUGUGACUGACGUAAGGUGUGUUUUAAAUCUCACGACUAGGACCAAUGCUUAAUGCUGAAGUUGCCAUCAACACAUAUAUUUGUAAUGGUUAAUAUGUACUCUUCUCUAACUGAGCAAAUGUCAUAAUGGUGAUCGACAUAUUUAAUGAAAAGUUAGCAAUGUUGUGAAUGGAAACUAGCAAGCUAGUGCUCAACUCAACCCAGAAAUGAUGAUUUUAGUCCGUGUUUCUUAAACUAAUGAUUACAACCGACUUCACUGAUCAGGUUGAGUUGCAGGGUGAAGCCAUGAGACGCUGUAGUUUUACUCUCCACAUUAGUAUGUGGUAUUUGUAUGUUUCUACACUAUAGUCUAGUUUUGGGCAACAUCACCUGAAAUGAUUACCUUCAUGCUUAGAAAUUUAACACUGGGAUUCAAAUUUGACAUUUCUUUUAUUUUUUCAACAGGAAUCUACACCAUGAAGAGCGUAAUUUAAGGUAUGUUACAUGUUGAUGUGUGUUCGGUUUGAGAUUAAAUUCUUGUGAAUUUAAGACCAGUGCUUAAUACUUAAGUUGCAAACAAAACUUGUACCACAUUUAUUUGUAAUGGCAAAUGUCAUAAUGGUGACCAACAUAUUUAGAUGAAAUGUUGUGAAUGGUUUCUCGCAGACUAGUGCUCAACUCAACCCAGAAAUGAUGAUUUUGAAGUCCGUGUUUCUGAAUCUAAUGCUUACAACCGACUUCCCUGACUGGGUUGAGCAGUUGUAAAGUGAUUAGUUUUGCUUGGAAUUGCAUUUAAUACUUAUUUUUAUUUUCUGCAGGUAUCUGAAACGUCUACCCCAAACGGUUAUUUGACUGCUCGCUCUAGAUGUUCUGCUUGAAGUUGGUUGAGAUCUGAUGUUUUUCACAUAGUUAACAUGCAUACCAUUGAUAGUUUUUGUCCCUGUUUAGGAAAUGAUUUAUUAAUGUUAAAUGGCUUGCAUUUUUUUAGAAGCCCAAAAUUUGAUGUAUUGUACCUAAGUAUUACAAUAAAGUCUGUUUACUACAAGUUGA